GAGGGUAUAGCUCAGUGGUAGAGUGCAUGCUUAGCAUGCAUGAGGUCCUAGGUUCAAUCCCCAGUACCUCCU
rnacentral:tRNA from 1 species